GGGGCCGUAGUCUAGCUUGGUCAAGAUUCCUGCUUGGGGUGCAGGCGACCGUGAGUUCAAAUCUCACCGGCCCCA
rnacentral:tRNA from 1 species